rnacentral:rRNA from 1 species
GAUAAACGCUGGCGGCGUGCAUGAGACAUGCAAGUCGAACGGACGAAUCGAGGCUUGCUUCGAUCGUUAGUGGCGGACGGCUGAGUAACGCGUAGGUGACCUGCCCCGAAGUGGGAUAACUGCCCGAAAGGGUGGCUAAUACCGCAUGUGGUGGUGUGUUCAAUCACACCAGUAAAGCCGCAAAGGCGCUUCGGGAGGGGCCUGCGUCCGAUUAGCUCGUUGGUGGGGUAACGGCUCACCAAGGUCGACGAUCGGUAGGUGGUCUGAGAGGACGAUCACCCAGACUGGGACUGAGACACGGCCCAGACUCCUACGGGAGGCAGCAGUCGGGAAUUUUGCGC